rnacentral:rRNA from 1 species
GACGAACGCUGGCGGCGUGCUUAACACAUGCAAGUCGAACGGAAAGGCCCUGCUUUUGUGGGGUGCUCGAGUGGCGAACGGGUGAGUAACACGUGAGUAACCUGCCCUUGACUUUGGGAUAACUUCAGGAAACUGGGGCUAAUACCGGAUAGGAGCUCCUGCUGCAUGGUGGGGGUUGGAAAGUUUCGGCGGUUGGGGAUGGACUCGCGGCUUAUCAGCUUGUUGGUGGGGUAGUGGCUUACCAAGGCUUUGACGGGUAGCCGGCCUGAGAGGGUGACCGGCCCCAUUAGGACUGAGAUACGGCCCAGACUCCUGCGGGAGGCAGCAGUGGGGAAUAUUGCACAAUGGGCGGAAGCCUGAUGCAGCAACGCCGCGUGCGGGAUGACGGCCUUCGGGUUGUAAACCGCUUUCGCCUGUGACGAAGCGUGAGUGACGGUAAUGGGUAAAGAAGCACCGGCUAACUACGUG